rnacentral:sRNA from 1 species
CCCAGGUGUCAGGGAGAAUGGGCUUCGGGGAAUAGGCUUGCCUGCUUCAUCUCCUGACUCCUCUCCUAGGCACUUUGAUCCGGUUUUCCAGUUCUUGCACAAGCAAGUUUUUGUCAGCCACGCCCUGGGGAGGAUCCACUGGAUCACCGCCGUCACAGCCUGUUCCCGGUGGCCUCUCCGGCUUCCCUAAAGAGAGCAGGUGGGACUUUCUACAACGCUGCUAUGCACGACGCGGAUGCCGUAUGCAUGUUGCUGGGGGAAGCCACUCCGGACACUGUGUUUUCUCUGGGACAUGUCUUCUGCCCAGAUGAAAACUCAGCCUGUAAUCAGUCUGAUUGGUGUGAACAGCGACCAUUCAGAGGCUGGAGUGAGUGAAGUUACAAAGUUGCAAACGAAGACUUGACCCACAAUCAGUCUGAUUUGUUGCCGACAGCCAGUUUCCCAUCUGCCAGGCAGAAACAUAUGGCCGCCUUAAAAGAUGCAGAUGCUGUUGUGAUCAGCAUGAAGUUUCCCUGUGAGGCUGUGGUCAGCGUGGACAUCAGCCAGCACUGCACAGACAGCUGCGACCAGGACGUCAGCCAGCACUGCACAGACAGCUGCAACCAGGACGUCAGCCAGCACUGCACAGACAGCUGCGACCAGGAUGUCAGCCAGCACUGCACAGACAGCUGCAACCAGAGACUGGAGGUGACGCCUGCCCUUUUCCACCCUUCGCCAGUCCACUGUGAAAAGCUGGGUUGAUUGUGCAGGUUAGAUAGAGGUCAUCAGCCAGGUUGAUUGUGU